CUAAAGAUGAGUGGUGAUGGUGGUUUGGAUCUGGUAUCACCCUGAAGGACUGGUUCCAAAACUGAGCUUGCUCCAGUUUCAGUUUCAACAGGUUCUCGCACUGAUGCAAUACCAUAUUCUGGGAAAUAUGAUGGGGUAGUUGGCAUGUUGGGUACAAUAGAAGCCAUCAACGUUCUAAAGCGGAACAAGUUUUUGGAUACAAAUCUGGAGAAAGUUUGUGGAGCUUCCCACACAUUCAUUUGGCAACCAAGAUACACGUGAUGCUUUGUCUGCAGCAAUCCACCA